UAGCGCUUUUCUACGUAUGGGAAGAUGCAAGAGUCUGGGCUCACUGAAACCAUUCCUUUGAUACGCACCUCAGCGAUCUGGGGCCAGUAUCCUGUGUUUUCGAGUUUCCUCAGGUCUCACUGUGGGGAGUGGCUGCAAUCCGAUGGCUGGUAGAUGGCAGGUAUUGUUUCCUUUCUAAGUUCCCUCAGGGCUCACCGGCUCACCCUCGGAGGUGGCUGCAAUCGUUGAUGACUAUGACCGUUGAUGACUAUGACAUCCUUUGUUUACUGACAUGGCAGGCAAUAUUCCAUUUCUCACAAGUAAUUUUGAGAAGCUGGCAUCAUCACACUUUAUCAUGAUUACUACUACCGCCAAUGCCACCAGCACUGGGCUGCUGUGCCUUCCUGGGAGAAGCCCUGCUACCACCAGGCUCAGGUCCUGAUUCCUAGGAACAAAGCCGAUCUUGUGAGGUAAAGAGGAAUCCCACCUGGAAGAUGGCUCAUAUGAGUGGAGACCUUCCACCAGGGCUGCAGAACAGAGGAGGAUCAAGGCCAAGAAAGAGCAGACCCUAGAUUUGCACAGCCGCUUGCACCAUGCACCAUGUGAUCCUUGUGCUCUGCAAGCCACCCGUCAGACUGUGAGAACCUGAGAUUCUCUAUUCUUUCCAGUGCCUGAGGGGGCCUCACCCUAUGCCCUUUAUCACCCGUGACAUUGAGAGACGUGGAUGCUUCCUCCAUCCUGACUUCACAGACACAGGAAGUAGUGAAGGAAAGAGCUUCCUGGACUACUUGCUUCUGCCUAGGAUGAAAGAUGAAAACCACUGAGCCCAAGAGGAUGAAUGACCAGGUCAUCCCAUUCGUAGCAACCUAGCCAAUAGUCAGAUUUUCCGACAUAGUUAAGUCAAACCCAGUUUCUAUUAAAAGACUGAGAAUCUACUGCCAAGGUAGUUCAGGACCAAAAGAUGUUCUACAGGAGGACAUUUUAUCCUGCUAGUGUGUGGAGCUUAUAGGUAGGAGAAUCCAGGAGAUGCAAGGCAGAUCAGAUCUCUUGUGAUCUAUUCUUUCUUUCUCCAGCCCAACUUUGUAGUUCACUACGUGUUUCCUCGAUCCACAGAAAAUGAACAGAUCUCAGGUGGUUUGUUUAUUUUUUCCCUCCUUUGUUUACAGUGUCUUACAUGAGACUUUUUAGGGUUAGUAGGUUAGAAUGGAAAUAUAGAAAUAGAUGAAAGUCAACUUCAGGGAUAAUAGGAACACAUCAGUAUCAGGAUGAAGUACUAUGCAGUUAUAUGCAGGUUAUAUGCUAUUACUAGACUAUUCUGUGCUAUCAUUGACCGAAUUUGUCUGAUUUUUCUGAUAGUCAUAGAAAAAAUGCAGAUGUUCUUUGUUACAUGAUUUGCAUUGGCCCUUAAAGAAAUCAUCAUGUGAAUUCCUCAUGAGGCAUUAAGAAUUCUAAAGAAAAUGUUCCUUUCCUAGUCUUACUGUAGGUAUCAUAGUAAGUAAUCUUUCAGUGACUAUGGGAAAUGGGUGCAGCCAGCUGCUUGUAAUUGCUCCUCAGGGGAAGCAGGACACUUUGUGCCAAAGGAGAACUCAGUCAAUUGAGGUUUCCAGGGGCUUCUCACCGUGGUCUUGUAGACCUCUUCCUCAUGGUCCCGCUUGAUCCGGGCAUAGAACCAGGGAUAUCUGCAAGAAAGAAUGGAUUAUGUCACCUUCAGAUAAUCUCUGUAAUAUUAUGUAUAGAUUGUGCAGCAGAUAGAUUAAAGUUGUAUUUUCUGGCACACGCUUUCCCAGUGCCCUUUUACGUUUCAAACUGCAUCACUUGUUGGAUCUGUCUGGUAAGGAACACCGGUGACCUUAUUAUGACAAAUGUCGUUGAUCUUAUAGUAUUUGCCUUAAUUGAGCAUUCUAUCCAGUUGACACUCAUGUUCAGUCCCUUCUAGAAAGUGUUGAUUGGUUUCUGGUCUCUUCCUCUGUGGUGAUUUCUUUUCUCAAUGGAGUCUUCUUCCUCUUCUUGCCUCUUAUUACUGCUUCUCCCAAGGUGUCCAUUAUUGGUCCCUUAUUGUCCUCACUCUCCUGGUCUUGCUGAGUGAUCUGUUUUCCUGUCUGGGGAUGCAUCAUUUGCUGGGAUGCUUUUCUGGCUCUCCAGCCCAGACCUCUCCCCUACCUUAGACCCAAAUGGCCAACUCUCUGCUGGACAUCUCUGUAUAGCUCUUCUAAAGGCCCGUCAUACUCUACAAUCCAAAAGGAAAGUUGUUAUUAACAGCUCCCCCAACUUUCUCCUUUAUUUCCCAUCAAAUGUUAUCACCAGCCAGUCCAUCAUCCCGGUGAAAAACCCAGUAUCUAUUUCUAAGUGCUGUCCUUUACCUGCUACCCGCAUAUCCAGUCAGUGAUCAAAUCUUGUUACAUUCAAGUUAUUAAUAUUUCUUUCUUUUUUUGAAAUUGAAAUAAAGUGCACACAAAUCCUCGGGGUACAACUUGAUGAAUUUUUCAUACGUGCUACAGCUGGAUAGCUAUCACCCAGCUCAAGAUAAAGGCCAUUUUCUGUACCGCAGAAGUCUUCUUUUCUUUCCAAGACUGUACUUGCCCACUCAUUCAAAGGGGCCAGUGUCAUUUGAGGAUGUGACUAUGGGCUUCACUCAGGAGGAGUGGCAGCACCUGGACCCUGCUCAGAGGACCCUGGACAGGGACAUGAUGCUGGAGAACUAUAGCCACCUCAUCUCAGUGGGUAGGGAUUGUAUAAUUUGUAACUCCAAACAAUAUUUGUUUCCUUUUUAGCUGCUGAUAUAGGUGGUUUCUUUGUAGAGAUUAAUAAUUUAUAGAUUUGAAAUUCAGGAGUCAAAGAUGAUCCCUUUUGGGCACUACAAAGAACACUUGUGUUCUCUUCCCCAGUGAAAUGUUCCAGUGGAUUUAUUUUCGUGCAGGCUAACUUUGUCCUCCUUUAAAGGUCCUGAACCUCAGGCCACCUGGUCCAAGUCCUGUGUCAUUUUCCAUUCACAAGGUAUUGUGUUACCAAACCAGAGGUGAUUUUCAAAUUGGAGCAAGGAGAAGAGCCAUGGAUGUUAGAGGAAGAGUCCCAAAGUCAGAGCCACCCAGGUGAGUUAGCAUAGACGUUACUGUAACCUGGGAGAAACUGGAUCCCAAGGAGUUAGUUCAGAUGUUGGCAUGUUUGAGAUUUUUUAGGAAAUUUUUUUUAGAGUUAAUAGAACUUUGGAAGUGACCAAGAAUAAUUGGCCUUCGUGCCUCAGAUGCAUAUAUCACCCUGGCGGAUAAGAGCUAAAUGGUUUCUUUUUGGGUUUUCUUCCAAAAAUCCAAUCCUUGCCUCUCUCAUUUUAAAUAUUUGUUGUUCUUUCUACAUCAAUUUCAUUUGUCGUCUUUUAAUCAUAUAUUAUGUAUUAAUUCACUAAGUAUUAAUUUGACAUCUACCAUAUGCCAGGUUUGUCUGUGUGCUGGGGUUGCAACUGCUAACAAUAUAAUGACUGCAUUUUAGUGGCAAAAGAGAAUGAAAUGUGGUGCUCUUUAUGAAAGUGAUCAGGGAAGAGCCUCUUUAAGAUCAAUAUUACAAUGAACACAGAUCUGAAUGGAGGGGGCCAGUGGAUUUUGAAUAUUCCAGCCAGAUGGUAUACCCUGUGCCAUGAACUUGAGGCCAGAGUGUUUAGUGUCUGCAGAACAGGAUAGCAUUUGCCAGGAUGAAGAGAGAUCAGAGAGUUAGAGAUGAUAUCAGAGAGGUAGUUGGUGCCAGUAUUUGGCUUUACUGGCUAUCAAAAGCUCCUUAAUUCUUUUUUUUUAAAGAUUUAUUUAUUAUUUAUUUAUUUAAUUAUUAUUAUUUUUUUGCUGCAU